CGGGGGGGGCAAGCGUUGUUCGGAAUUACUGGGCGUAAAGGGCUCGUAGGCGGCCAACUAAGUCGGAUGUGAAAUCCCCAGGCUCAACCUGGGAACUGCAUCCGAUACUGGAUGGCUUGAAUUCGGGAGAGGGAUGCAGAAUUCCAGGUGUAGCGGUGAAAUGCGUAGAUAUCUGGAGGAAUACCGGAGGCGAAGGCGGCAUCCUGGACUGACAUUGACGCUGAGGAGCGAAAGCUAGGGGAGCAAACGGGAUUAGAUACCCCGGUAGUCCUAGCCCUAAACGAUGAAUGCUUGGUGUGACGGGUAUCGAUCCCUGUCGUGCCGAAGCUAACGCAUUAAGCAUUCCGCCUGGGGAGUACGGUCGCAAGGCUG
rnacentral:rRNA from 1 species